ACUCAAAUGAAUUGACGGGUCCCCGCACAAGCAGCGGAGCGUGCGGUUUAAUUCGAUGCAACGCGCAGAACCUUACCCAGACUUGACAUGGCCCUGAAACGCCGGGAAACCGGUGCCCCGCAAGGCAGGGUCACAGAUGUUGCAUGGCUGUCGUCAGCUCGUGUCGUGAGAUGUUGGGUUAAGUCCCGCAACGAGCGCAACCCUCGUGCCGUGUUGUAGAUCACGGGAGACUGCCGGUACAAGCCGGAGGAAGGCGGGGAUGACGUCAAGUCCGCAUGGCUCUUACGUCUGGGGCGACACGCACGCUACAAUGGCCAGGACAGAGCGCGGCGAAGGGGCGACCCGGAGCGAAUCGCGAAAGCUGGUCUCAGUUCGGAUGGCAGGCUGCAACCCGCCUGCCUGAAGUCGGAGUUGCUAGUAACCGGAUGUCAGCAUAGUCCGGUGAAUAUGUUCCCGGGGAUUGUACACACCGCCCGU
rnacentral:rRNA from 1 species